UCUUGCAGUGUUAGGACCACGGAGCGCCAUUCUUGUCAUUCUCACAGCGGGGGCCAGGUUCCCAGGCCUUUCCUGUGUGAAUCUUUACCUCCAUGAAACCGUAGUCCAAUCUUUUUGUAAAUGGAGGCCCUUCCACUUCCUACCGCUCUUUGAUCUCCAGUCACCGACCUUUCACCCUGGCCCUUCGUCUUCUGGGUCCAAAUCAUCUGAACCGAGAGCUUAGCUCUUCAUGGAAUUCAAAGGAGAGGCAAAACCACAAGGAUUCAUCAUCCAGAUAAGCAAAGGUCGUUUUGUCUACAAAUACUGAGUUGCAAUUGGAGGAAAAUGUUGGAUAAAAUUGGCAGGAACGGACAUCCUUGUUCUUUUGCUGAUAUUCGAAGUAAAGCAGUCGCUCAUUCAGAGUAUAAGUUAGCCCUUUCUCCGGGUUGGGGAUUUAGCUCAGCGGAAGAGUGCUUGCCUAGCGAGCGCAAGGCCCUGGGUUCGGUCCCCAG
rnacentral:sRNA from 1 species